UGGGGAAUAUUGCACAAUGGGCGCAAGCCUGAUGCAGCCAUGCCGCGUGUGUGAAGAAGGCCUCGGGUUGUAAAGCACCUUCAGCGAGGAGGAAGGUGGUGAGCUUAAUACGCUCAUCAAUUGACGUUACUCGCAGAAGAAGCACCGGCUAACUCCGUGCCAGCAGCCGCGGUAAUACGGAGGGUGCAAGCGUUAAUCGGAAUUACUGGGCGUAAAGCGCACGCAGGCGGUUUGUUAAGUCAGAUGUGAAAUCCCCGGGCUCAACCUGGGAACUGCAUUUGAAACUGGCAAGCUAGAGUCUCGUAGAGGGGGGUAGAAUUCCAGGUGUAGCGGUGAAAUGCGUAGAGAUCUGGAGGAAUACCGGUGGCGAAGGCGGCCCCCCUGGACGAAGACUGACGCUCAGGUGCGAAAAGGCGUGGGGCAGCAAACAGGAUUAGAUACCCCUGGUAGUCCACGCUGUAAAACGAUGUCGA
rnacentral:rRNA from 1 species